rnacentral:rRNA from 1 species
CGAACGGCAGCACGGGGGCAACCCUGGUGGCGAGUGGCGAACGGGUGAGUAAUACAUCGGAACGUGCCCAGUCGUGGGGGAUAACGUAGCGAAAGUUACGCUAAUACCGCAUACGAUCUACGGAUGAAAGCGGGGGAUCGCAAGACCUCGCGCGAUUGGAGCGGCCGAUGUCAGAUUAGGUAGUUGGUGGGGUAAAGGCUCACCAAGCCGACGAUCUGUAGCUGGUCUGAGAGGACGACCAGCCACACUGGGACUGAGACACGGCCCAGACUCCUACGGGAGGCAGCAGUGGGGAAUUUUGGACAAUGGGCGAAAGCCUGAUCCAGCCAUUCCGCGUGCAGGAUGAAGGCCCUCGGGUUGUAAACUGCUUUUGUACGGAACGAAACGGCGCUUUCUAAUACAAGGCGCUAAUGACGGUACCGUAAGAAUAAGCACCGGCUAACUACGUGCCAGCAGCCGCGGUAAUACGUAGGGUGCAAGCGUUAAUCGGAAUUACUGGGCGUAAAGCGUGCGCAGGCGGUCUUGUAAGACAGAUGUGAAAUCCCCGGGCUCAACCUGGGAACUGCAUUUGUGACUGCAAGGCUAGAGUACGGUAGAGGGGGAUGGAAUUCCGCGUGUAGCAGUGAAAUGCGUAGAUAUGCGGAGGAACACCGAUGGCGAAGGCAAUCCCCUGGACCUGUACUGACGCUCAUGCACGAAA